rnacentral:sRNA from 1 species
AUGCUUGUUAAGAAGGAAGUUCUUUGUUUGGGUACAGCACAGGGCAGUACAGAGAGCAGCAGCCUGAGCUUCCUAUGUAGCUCUAUCAGAUGUCUCAUCCCUGACCUGGAAUGCAGGAGGGAGGUGAAAGGUUAGUCCAUUCUUCAUGCUCAUUCAAUACUUCACUUCU